rnacentral:lncRNA from 1 species
UUUUUUUUUUUUUUUUUUUUUUUUUUGUCAACAAACUUUUUCGUUUGUUAUGUUUUUUUCUUUAAUUUUAUAGUCUUUUAUUUUGGUCGAAACAAAGACUAAUAAAAUGUAAUAGUACUACUACUAGUAUUGCAAAAAAAAAAAAAAAACGUAUAAAACUUGUAAGUCCUAAAUUAUAUCAUUAAGUGAAUCUUAGCGAACUACCUCGUAUCCAACUUAACUUAAACAUCAUAAUGUCGGGCUCUUUGUUACGAUCCAAUAAAGUAUUUCUCUCCAACUUUUUUUUUUCUUUUUUCCCAUGUUAACUACACCAGGGCCUGGUAACCAUGAUUUAGGAAAAAAAUGAGAAGGAAUUUGACAUUCCUCUUCAUUCCUCAAUUUUUUUACCAUUUACAAGCAAUCAUUUUUCCACAUCAUUCCUCUACGUUCCUCACAAAAUGAGGAACAAUAGAAAAAAAAUGUUCCUCCCCAAAAUUGAUGAGGAACAAAUGGAACAAAAAAAAAAUAUUAAAAUUCGUUUUUUAUUUUAAAAUAAAUAAAAAAAUAUUUAUUAAUAAUAUUUUAAUCUCAUAAUAUAAUAUUUUUCAUAUUUUUAUCAUGUAUUGACACUAAAAAAUAUUUUUGAUAUGAAUUUCAUGUUAAAAAAUCUUACUAUACAUUAUUUAAAAUUUGUAUGGAUAGUAAAACAUAUUUAAGAGAUGUUUAUAUCAUAAAUAACAAAUAAAAAAUUACUAUAAUCUAUAAUAGGUUAAUAUAAAUUAUUAAUUUUUAACAUUAAAUAUUUAAAUUCAUUCAAAAAUAUAUUUUAAAAUUAGUGUCAAAAUCAUUAUAUAUAAAUUAUAUCUAGUAUUAUUAUUAAAAGUUGAUUUAUUUAAUCAAAUAUAUUAUAAAAGAUAGUGUUAUUGUCUGGUUACCAUUUAUUAUUUUGUUCUUCUCUGCAUGUUUUCCUUUCAUUCCUCAAAAGUUGUUUAUUCCGUUCCGUAUUGUUCUUUUUGUUCUUUUUCCUUUUGUUCCUCUAAUGGUUACCAGUAGAAGCCCAGAUUUGAGUGUUCGUGUGUUUGCUACAAUGUAAUAACUCUUUCAUUUUCUUAAGUUAUAAUUCAUUUGAAAAUCAUCACAGACUCCCCGUUCACUGUGUUCAAGAUUGUGUAUGCAACAUACAUCCCAAAGCCGAAACCGUGAUAGAACCUCAAAAAUUCAAAAUCAAGAAUCCAACUCAAUAUUAGUUUGACGAUAUUGCAAUAAUUAGUAGUAUGACCAAUCACCAAUCCAGGAUAAUCUAAUGGUUGAUGUGUUUAUAUUCUUAGUUGAGAGACUAUGAUUUGAGUCGUUCUAAUAUCAUUUCAAUCAUGAUUGAUUAUUCUGUCUGAUAAGAAUACUUGUUUCCUGAUUUGUUUCUACGACGCGUGAAUUGUGAUCAACCGAUUAUAAAAGAAAAAAGCAUAAUUACGUAUAAUAAUUAUCACAAAGAAAAUAAUAUAGAAAACAAUAAUAGAUCCCUAAACAUGAUUAUAGGUUCCUUUGGGCCUUUAGAAUGAAUACUAGGACCAGUUAUGUAUUUCCUUUGUUAUCGUUUUCAGACAUACAGUACUUCAAUAUCACAGUUUAAACCGGACGGUUUGGCUCUUUUUUAAAACAUAGCAUAUCUCUAUCAAGUCGGUCUGCUUUUUGGGGACCAACGGACGUGUUUGAUUGAUUCACGUCGGCGUUGGUAAUAGACACGUGACAAAUCGAUGUGAAGAAGAUAGCGUUCAUCAUACUUUACCAAAAUGGAUUAUAGACCUGUCGUUCUCUGUAAUCAGAAGCUCUCGUGGCCCCUUUUUAGGUUUUUAUCAUACAGCCAAAGCCAAGAAAGAAACAUGUCUUUUAUUAUUCUCUUUGAUCUUGUUGAGAAUAUUUCACUCAUAGUAUAUAAUUCAAAAUGUUAGUCAGAUUGGUCUUCUCUUUUUCUAUAUGAUCUUAUGGGCUUUAUGGUAUACAACUAUAGAGUUUUGGGCCUCUGAUUUUUGCACUCUUCUUCUCAAUCAUAUGUUCUUUUUCUCGCAUGUUGUAUUUUACAUUGCACAGUUCUCUGUUUUUCACAUUUGACUCGAUAUUGUAACGUUUCUAUUACAUGGAAAAUAAACAAUGAAAAAAAAGAAAAGGAAAAGCUCAUUUAUGCUAUGUCGAGCAGCAACCCGGUUUCUUGACGGCUGAAACAUCAUCUCUGCUUCCAACGUUAAUCAUCUGUCCUUUAGGCAAAGCAGUGGUUGGAUCAUCUCCAGCAUCGAGAGCCUUCUUGCUAACGACUCUGUAAAUCUGAGUGAGAACCUCUGUGAAAGCGUUCUCGACAUUUAUAGCUUCCAGUGCAGAAGUCUCCAUGAAGAAAGUGUUCUCUCUCUCCGCAAAAUCUUUCACUUCAUCCGUCGAGAUGGCUCUGAGGUGACACAAAUCAGCUUUGUUACCUACGAGCAUAAUCACAGUGUUUGCGUCUGUAUGGUCUCUUAGCUCCUUUAACCAUCUCUCAACGUUCUCGAAUGUCACGUGCCUUGUCACGUCGUAGACUAGUAACGCACCAACGGCUCCGCGGUAAUAAGCGCUCGUGAUGGCUCGGUACCUAAUUGCAAAUGCUCACUGAGAUUAAUGGAACACAUAUACUCGAGCAUAAUUAAGGGUGACGAUAAAUUGUUAUUAGAGGUGGAUAAUCUUGUUUCAGUAUGGGGUUUUCAAGUUUUGGUUUUAUGAAAACUAAAACCAAAAAGAAAAAAAGAAAAUUUGUAGCUUUGAUGUAACUUUGGUUUUCAAAGAUAAAAGUAAAUUAAGAAUAUAGAUAACAUUUUUUUUGACUUAAUACAAUAUAUAUGUAACGUUAUAACAUAUACCCUCAAAGAUAAAUAAUUUUAGUAGCAUUACGUCUACACUUUUUUGAACAAAUUUAUAUUAUAUAAUUGGUUGAUCAUGUUCGGGUACACUAUAUAUAGUUUUGGAUGAUAACCGAUCUUUCUAUAUAUAUACGCAUUGGAAUUUAUAUUUGAUUCGUUUUGGUGUUAUAUGUUACACCAACAAAUUAUGAGUACCUUUCUUGGCCAGCGGUGUCCCAUAUCUGAGCUUUGACAAUCUUGUCGUCGACUUGGAUGCUACGUGUGGCGAACUCGACGCCUAUGGUCGAGCGUGAGUCGUGGCUAAAGUCGUUUUUGGUGAAUCGGGAUAGCAGAUUUGAUUUUCCGACACCGGAAUCUCCCGUUAAGACAACUUUGAAGAGGUAGUCAUAAUCGUCGUCAGCUUUAUAUGCUCCCAUAUCUGGUUGAUAUCCUUAUGACGUUCCAAGAACUUUGGAAGACAGAGAAAAAAGUCCAAUAUCUGCAGAUUGGUUUUUUGCUUUUUUGUGGGUUUUCUAUUUUUUAUUUUAACGUUUUUGUAAAUUAGAGAAGAGACCAAUAUUGUUUACGAAUGUUGAAUUUUAGAAGAAGAGACAGAGACAAUUCAGAGAAACAAGGAUUAUCCUCUAUUUUACUGGUCUUAUUAAUUUUGGGAUAGUCUAAAUAUAUAUAAUCCAAGAUUGAUCUCGCAAAGGAUCCUAUAAUAUUUUGUGUGUUGAUCUUUGCUUAGAUUUUCUAUUAAAUGUAUAUUUUUAACUAUAGCAAAUAUAUUGCUAACGCAAUUCCAAAACUUUGACUAAACCAUGCGCAUAUUUUCUUAUUUAAAAUUUUAAUUUAUUUAUUUGAUUUUUUUUUUUGCAUUGAUUUAACAUUAAAAAUCAAUUUCUAAAGUUUUCUUUUUGAUUUAUGGUUGACAAAAAAAAAAUUCUUUAGAUUUUUGAUUGUUUUUUUACUUUGAAUAAGCGAAAAUGGAUUUUAGUACUAUUUAAAGGUUUUGUAUUAAUUUGAACUUACACAAAAUUCAAAACAGUUUAAUCCACAACCUAAACUUGUGUACAAAUAAAAAAUUCAAAGGUUUGGUCCAAUACAUACAUAUAUAUAUCCCCAAAUGAAUUUAAAAUAUGUUCCACUUAAUGGAAUUCAAGAUUGUAAAUUAUAAUUUGAAGUCAAUUUGGUUCAUUUUUAUAAUAACGGGAAUUUGGUAUUAAAUUUUUUGCUCCCUCAUGUGCCAUGCUUGGGACAUUUCCAUCACUUUAUUCUGUUUUUUUUCAAUAUUUUUUUAUAUAAAUCUUGUCAAGUUAGUUGUUACCACUAGUCAGCAGAUAACAUUACACAAAAAAAUAUGGUUAAACUAAUUUUUGAGAAGUUUUGGCCUGAAAACGUUUGAAAAUAGAUCCUUUUGGUUAAUAACAUUUUCAUGUAUGGCAUCCCGACAACUAGAUUCCUAAAAUGAGAAAAUCACCCUCAAAUCCUAGAUGUUAACCACAUAUCAUAUAAACCAUGUCACCCAAUACCUUAUAUACAUGCCCAAGCUCUAAGCCUUAAUUUAACUACAUAGACUGUGAAAGAUUAUAUAUACAGUGGAGUACUUAUUGGAAAGUUUCCUACUUAGAAAAAAACUUUGAGCCUUCUCCCUUCCAUGUCCAAAUCUCUAUGUUUAUAAAGUAGUUAAUCCUUAGUUAUCUUUUAGAAGUUAAAAAACCAUACAUUACUAGAUUACAAAAUCUAUUAAUUAGUUACUACUUGUGAAUAUUGUAUUAUCCUACCAAAAUUCAAGAAUGGUUUUGAAGCUAACAAGGUGAAACCGUCCCAUACUAAACUUAUUUAAUUUAAGAUAUUGUAUAAAUAAAAAAUUUAAAGGUGAUAGAAAUCUAAAAAAUAUUAAAAAUUACUGAAAACAGAAAACAAUGUGGUUAGAAAAUGUAUAUGGUCAAGGAAAGUGUCUUGUGAGAAAACAACAAAAUCACAAAUUAUAAACUCUAACUAGUUUUCUGUAAUAAAGCCUUGUCCAAAUUCAAACAUAGUAGUCCCAAAUCCUUAUAUACAGAUAUAUAAACGUUAGAAACAGUAAUUAUUUUGACUAAAAAGAACUUCACAUUUAUUACAACUUAAUGAUAAAGUUGUGAUUUUCUUUAAUCAUGAUAUUCAUACGACCAACGACUCUACGAGCGAGGUUACAAGAUACUGCAAACAUGAACUCUAGUUGUAGUAGAUUCAUAAAUGUUAACCUUAUCAUUCGCAAUAUCUCGCUUGCAUUACAAGAGAUCUAAAUCAUUCAACAUCUUGAGCUAUUAUAUCCAAAAAAAUGUAAAAAAUAAAUAAAAUAAAAGAAAACUGAGAGAGAGGAGGGAGUGAAGAUGGAGUGCGUGUCAUAUGAAUAUGAUUCAUGAUGAGGAGAAAAGAGUUAAGAUACUGUUGUGUCAGUUUUUGGACGUAAGAGAAACUUUGUCCCACUUGUUGGUGAAUCCACAGUUCCUCUGGUCAACACUCUUCUGAACCUAUAAAUUUUUUGUUUGUCUCUUUCUAAUUAGCUUUCUAUUUUCUUUCUUUCUUGUCACUUCAUAGAUUUCUAUAUACACUCUUUAACCUCAUUUAAAACUCACGACAAAACUUCUAAAUUGCGAUCGUAAUUUUCUACUUUGAUUUGCCAAUAGUUCCUUUUUAAACACAACAAUAUAGAUUUGGUUCCGUUAUGAUAUUAUUAUGUUACUAUACAUAGCUUUUUGUUUCACCCGCAGUGUCACUACACAUAGUUAAGGGUUUAGUUUUGUCAUUUCGGGAAAUAAUUAAGUUCACACGGCAGCGUAGACAGUGACAACCAUUUGUCCGUACGGACAAUCAGAUUUCCAAACAAAAUGACAACUUAUUCUUAAUUUGGUGGAUAUGUUUGUACGACGACAUGAUAAAUAAAGUUUCGUAUAACAAAAUUUAACCAUAUAGUAUAAUGUAACAUUUACGGCUAGAAUUGCAUACUGAAUUAUGAUAUGUUGCAUUGUCGUAAAUUAUAAACUGCACAUGUUCAAGUUUCUGCAGGUUUAAUUAAUAAAUGAAUAGAAUAUGUUGUUUCGUAUAAAGAAAAUAAACAAUAAACUUAUAAAAAAGCAUGAAGGGUAAAUGUAAAGAUAACGUCAAAAAGCGACAAGAUGAAGGAAACAGUCAAACAGUAGAAAGAUAGAACUGUAGGACCAUGUUUUUUAUUGAGAAACAUUUGUGUGAUUUGAUAUUACAUUUUCAUUAUGCCUUUUUGACAUCUGAUUUGAUUUGAUCUAACAAAGCCCCUAUCUAGCUAGACCUUCUUUGCAUUCAACUACAAUUAUUUCACGUACUCACGUUUUUAUUCUCUUUAUUUAACUUGAAAAAUACAUGUAGGUAGUUUUUGUAUAACUCCUUAACGUAGCAGUGAGUAAAUUUAAAUAUUAACAUCAUGAUGAAUUCAUAGUUAAAACUUGAAAGCAAAGAAUCAUAUCAACUGAUUGUCAAAAAAAACUCUGUUUCCUAACUUUGUUACGUUACUUAUUCCUUUGCGGAAAAGAAAAAAUAUUGUUUUGUAUGCUGUAAAAUAUUCAGACUUAUAUCUUAUGAUAGACUAUUCGUAAUUGGUAGUAAUAUUUAUUAUUUAUAUGAUUUUUUUUUUCUUACUUCAGAUUUUUUUUUCUUUUCAGAAUUUGAUUACAUGCAUAUACUGUAAUGUGUAGUUCAAAGCAUCAUGUACUUCUAUCAAAAGUAACUGAAACGAUUUUAUUUUUUUGCAGUAUUAUCAUUUCACACAUUUUAAUUUUAAUUUUUUUUUUUUACAAAAUCAUCUAUGUACUCAAAAACAUUUCCUAAAAUUUUGAAUUAAACAGAGUUUUUGGGAAUAGAAUACUUAUUUCUUAAUUGUUUUUUUAAAAAUAAAAAAUUAACUCAAAAGCUCUUAUAGUUUAUAAUUCAUAACAAAUAUAUACAUAGUAUUUGUAAGUGUAACGUUUUUAAUCCCCCGGGAUUAAAGUGAGAAAUAUCACCUCACCUCACGUGAACUGAAGUCAAAGUUCCCUACUUCCCGCAAGUAAACCUUACACCGCAGGUCCGCAGUCUAAACACUAAACAUAACGCAUGACCUAAUUUUACUUUCACAUUGGUUGAUGUGAAGCUUCUCUAUUACUCAUCACCAUAUUAUAUCUCAUUGUUUAACGAUUCCUAAUAUACUAGUAUAAACAUUCAGAUGAUCAGGAAACAGAAACAUUAAUAUUAUAGAUUAUUGAAAUAAGAAUGAAACACACACAGCAUAUGUUGGUCAACAAUCUAACGAAAGAGUUUUGUGAAUGUUGUCCGAAACUCAUACAUCACACCGUCACAAUAGGUACGUAACAGAUGAAACCCAUAUAUCUUAUAAAAUCUUAUCUAACAUUUAAGCUUACGUGCGAGAGAUGGUGAAAGAAAGAGACAGGUCUUAAUUUCUUCUUCAAACUCAAAUCUCCCACACGACUAGAUCUGCAAAAGCAGAAACGAUACCUCGAAAUUAAAAUCGACAUAAAUAAUCAUAUAUACACACACAUGCAGGCACAUCCUCCGAAAAUAUGUUAGUAUUAGAAUUUAUACUACAAAAGUCAAAAAACACGAAGGCCAAAAAAAAAAAGAAAAGAGAAAAAAUAAAACCCAAUGAAUGCUCUAAAGCGCAAGGUGUGUGUGUGUAAUUAAAUUAAAUUGAGUCAACAAUGUUGACCUAAGCCAAACAACAUGUCUCUCGCAUGCAUUUAUCCAUUUUAGAUCCCAAUGAAGAAAUAAACUAGUAUAGAUCUGUAUAAACAAAUAUUGUAUAGCCAUUAAUUAAGUAUUCGUUACACUAUACUUUAUUGAUCCUAUAGAGUAGUAUCUAGCUAUAGUGAAGUGAAUGUAAACCUUAAUUAGUGUAACAAAGGUAGAUAGAGAUGAAACAAUACCAGAUAGUAUGACCCUCCGUGUUGAAGAGGGUGAAGAGCGACGCCAUAUUCAUCGGUGACAAUGGGCUGACCAGCAGAAUUAAUGAGCACAACUUCUUCCCCAAAUGCAUCUCUCACAUUGAACGGUCCAGGGCUCACUUCAAGCUCCAUUUCAUUGAUGAACACCCUUAUUUUCGCCCCCGCUGCAUUCGAUUUAACAGUGGUUAUCCCAUUAUUUCAUGUUAGUAUAAUUAUAACUAUAUGUUAACACUAUCUAUACAAAACAACCAUGUUAACCUCAAACAAACUAUUUUUUUUUAAAAGAGAGAAAGAGGGUAUAUACAACUAAAUAAUCAUACAUACUAAUAAACAAAAAGGUCUUUAAAAAGAUUUAUCCUGAUCAAUGUGUUCCUUCCAUCGUUGACACGCAAUUAAUGUAUCAAAACUGUGGAGUAAAAAUUUAACAUAAUGAAUAAAAAAGAUAGAUUACAUUAUAUAUAUCAAAAUACCUUGAACUUGAAGCUGGUCCGAAGUUGAUGGGACAGUAGCGAGAGAGUGCGAAGUGGUAAUAGUAGUAGUAGUAGAAGUAGUGGGAGGAACAUGAAGCAUGAUGUUAUUGUUGUUGUUGUAAGAAGAUAUUUGUUGACUAGUAGUAGCGUAACAAAGUUGAGGCUGUGGCAGCUGCAGCAUCUUCAUCCUCAUUUCUUCAUCUUCUUUCUCACUCAAGUGUUGAUGAUGAUGAGUUCCGUAACUCACACUACCGUUCAUGAUCUCACUCAGCAGGAGUCCGGUACAUGGACCCAACGUUGGAGCCGGUUUUUGUUGCUCGGUCAUAUCACCGGAGAGAAACCCUAAUUGGGAAGAGACGGCGAUACCUUCAAACCCUCCGACGGUGGAAACGGGAAAGAGAAAGGCCGCUUCAGGUGGAAACAUCCCCAUCAUUUGAGUACUACCCAGAGAGAGAUUAGUGUUGUUCUUGUUCUUGUUUUUGCGGGGCUUGGUGGAUUUGGAGGAGGACGAGGAGGAGGAAGAGGAAGAGGAAGCCGAGUUUGCUGAGGAAAGAGGUUGCUGUUGUGGUUGUGGUUGUGGCUGUGGCUGCGGUUGAGGGAGAGAGUGUUUUGAAUGGUUGUGGAGGAGGCGGAGUUUGUGUUUACUACGGGACUUGCGGUUUUGGAACCAGUAGAAGACGUUGGCGUCACCGACUUGGCCGUAUUCUUGAAGCUGAGCCCUAAUCCUCCUGAUCUCCUCUCUCGGUGGAUUCACCAUCCCUGAGUUAAAGAUUGCUUCAAGUAUCCGAAUCUGCUCUGGCUUUGGAUUCCAUCUCGGCUUUGGCUCUGGACUUCUCUCCACCUCACACCCUUUUUUGUGGACAAACCGUAAAUAGAUCACAUCUCGUCAGAUAAGAGUUCUUAUGAAAAAAAAAGUUUAGUAUCAAUUGGUAAAAAAUAUAUAAAAGAAAAAGUAGAAGGACCUGAAGAGAAGGGAGAAGAUCGGUGGGAAGCAGAAGGCAAGAGAGGAGAGUUGAUGUCGUGUUGCCAUUGAUGGGGAUGAGGUUUGGACUUGAACAUGCUUGGCCAGUGUCUAUUCGAGGAAGCCAUAACUAAUUUAACUCGAUUCGGAAGAACACCGAUGUAUGUGUAUGCAUAUGAUGAUGAUGAUGAUUGAUGUUUUUGAAUGAUGAUGUGAUGAUGAUGUGAUGUGUCAAAAAGAGAGGAGGAAGAAGAGUCAGGGAACAGAAUGGCUAAUGGGAAGAUAAUAAAAAUGUGAAUAGGGCAAAAGGGUUACGACCUCUUUCUCUCCCUCUUAUAAUCUCUCUUCACCUACCCAACCCCUCUCUACAUUAUAUAUUCAUCUCUUUUACUUCAAUUUAAUUCAUUCAAAGCCUCUCUCACCCGUAUUUCUAUACUACACCACUUUUCAUCCUCUCUCUAUGUAUAUGUAUUAAAUCAUACGUAUAUGUUUAUUUAUAUCAUUAUAUCAAAAGACAAAAAAAAAAAAAAACUUUCAUUAGUUGAAACUAUCACUACUUCUCUUGUUUUGGGAAGCACAAUUGAAUUAGAGAAGUAGGGCUCUGGGCUCCCAUGAACCACUGUUUUCAUUUCGUUUUAUUAUUCCUAACUUCAGUCAAAAACUAUGAGGGUGGCAAACAACAAGAAUUAUGAUCUAAUUUAUUUGAGAUUUUUUUCAUUAUAAAAAAGGGUCUUUAAGCUUGGCAUGGGUCAAAAUUUUAAUUAAGAUAGGUUAAGAGUUGUUUAACAAUUUAAGGAAUCUCGUGCGAGUUGUAUAUAUUCAAAAAGGCAUUUAACAUUUAACAUUUAAAAAAUAAAACAAUUUUAGUGUUUAAACUUUAAAGUGCGUUAAAUUGUGUUAGUCGGCGACUAGUCUACUGCUAACGUUGUUAAAUCACUGAUGGAUUUGACCAACACUUCAAUAACAAAUAGACAAUUUUGGAAAUCCUAAAUGCCUUCAACAGUCAUUUGAUUAGUUGUAUAUUGUAUCUAUUUUGUUUUCCUUCGAUUAUAUAAAAGCAUUAUAAUUCACCAUUAUUGAAUAAUAGGUUUUUGUCAAAACUUAUAUAAGAACAAAUUCAAUUUCUAUACCCUUUCUGAUAAUUUUGUUUUUCAUUUUUUUAGUACUAUUUCAACAAAACACUUUUUUUUUUAAAGUAUAUUACAUGGAAUAGUAUAUAUAUAUUAUACUUAGAUAAAAGAGCCUCUUUCCAUGAUUUUUUUUGCUUGCAGUUCUCGCAUUUGUCCAAUCCGAUCACUUUAACUUGUCGCAUAUUCAUUUUAUCUAUUUCGUAGACAAAUAUUGGCAAAACCGUAUUCACACUAUCUAAUAAACUACUUUGAGUGUGAGAGAGCUUCAUUAGUUGGAGUUAUCCAUAAACCUUGUUUCUCACCCAAAUGAGGAUAGUAUGCAAAAUGUUUAGUACUACCGUUGAAUAAUUAAUCGUUUUAUGUUUUACCAUAUACCACAAGUUUAUGCGAAAAUUAUUUUUUUUUAAAAACUAAUUACGUUAUAUAGAUUUAGAGAAUGAGUGCUGAAUUCGUCAUUUUAUGCAAUGGUAAAUAAAGUACACAAUUCCUCUAGCUCUAGUUAAAAACAGUAAGAAGAGAUCGGAAGACACUCAAAGUAAUCAUUAAUGCAAACCCAUGCCUAUCUUCCUUACAGUACUCUCUCUUGCAUUAAAAUCCAAACUGCUUCUGCAGUUCAAACGUACGAACUCAAAAAUUUCUUCAGAAAUUGAAACAACAGAUUCUUUGAAAGUGAUCCAUGUUUGGUUCUGCACUAGGAUUUUUCUCCUUUUUUUUUUUCUCUUCUGACAUCUCAAGAAAACAUUAAAUAGAACCAAACAGAAAGAUUGUAAAUUUUAACUUCUUUUCUCACAUUUGAUUUAUUAGUAUAUAUAUAAUACUUCGGAAAACAAGUAUUAAUGGGGAAAAUACGAAUUUUUAAGAAGUUAAGAUGGGUGGUGCAUGGUGUAUGAAAUUAAGGUUGUUUUUUUUCUUUUCUGAAUUGACUCGAGGGUCUUUGUUGAUGAUCGUUCUCAUUAAUAAUGUAUUAACAAUUUCUUCAGUUUCUUUCUGAAGUAUCACAAGAUUAUUUUCGUACGCUUUUAUUUCCAAGAUAAACGAAAUGCUAGCUUUAUCUUAUUAUAUUACCAAAUUGUAUAGGCCAAUGUUAAACAAGUCAUAGUUUAUAAAAUUUCUCUAACUCAAAACAACAUGCAACAUCUCUAUAUAAUGUACAACACCACACCAGUUAUAUAUCCGCGUAAAUAUACUUUUUUAAAGUCUCAUAGCCAAAGCCAAUUUCAUUAAAAUGUUCUAAGCAAAACAAAAAUAUAUUUAUUACUAGUCUUAUUUUAUAAGAAGACACUAAAAUACUUUUAUUACUAGUAUUGGGUAUUAUAUGAAGUGAAAUACUUUAAUUAAAAAAUAGAAUAUAUGUUGAGGUGUGUUGGUGCUCGGGCCAUUGCAGCUUAACUUCAGCUGAGGAAUCAGGAAAUGGAGAUCAAUGCAACAAUUUAAAUAUCUAUAUAUCCGUAUAUGCUCAUGAAACCAUAAAACAAUUCGUUUAGAUAUAUAUCAAAGCAAAAGAAUAAACAAUUUACUAACGAUCUUAUACAAAGAUGACCAGCAUCCAUAACUAUGAACAUACCAACACAGAACAACCUGAUUUUUUUUUGUCUACGUAGAUUUUUCUUAUCUGGUUAUAAGAAAAUAAUUUUAAAAUUUUAUCAUUUCAAAGGCUAUUGGAUUGGGUUAAUUUGUUACUCAUCUUUUCAUAUAUAACAGAGAUCGGCACACUCUUUGAAUUCUAUAUAUGUUGUAGUAUGUAAAAACGUUUAAUUUGCUUAGGUAUACAUUUUAGUUUUCUUUUCAACCCAAAAAAAAAAACACAAGUUAUUUUCUUUCAAACACAAGUUAUUAGAAAAUAUUAUUGGCGUCAUGGAGGAACCCUAGAUUUCAGUGGGAUGCUCAAACAGCAAUCAAUUUGACAUGUGUUUUACAUAUUGGGACCACUACUACGACACAAGCGAAUGAAAACCUUAAAAGCUCAACAAAAGUACUUCCAACUUUUUUUUUAUAUAUUGGAAAAUAAAUAUUGUAUUUUCUUUGUACCCAAGAAAUUCCAUAACUUAAUUUAUCAACGUUUGGAUGUAUAUUUUCUUCUAAUCAUAAAUCAAGAUAUGUUCUAAAUAUUUGUAUCUUUCUAGAAAAAGAUUUGUAUAUAUUUAAAACAAACCGUAAAAAAUAAUCAUGUAUAUAUAUAGUUUUAAACCACACGGUUUCAAACCAAAAUAUUAAAUUUGUCAUUAUAUUGAAUAUAUGGAUACAAAUAUUAAAUAUUUCAGAAAUUGAGCUUAUUCUUAAUUUAUACGAAAGUAAGACAAAAAGGAAAUGAAAUUAGAAAGAGGCAGAUAGCUACACAUGAAAUCAUCCUCUAUACAGUUUAAAAAUGAGCAUGACACACAAUAUGUGAAGUUAGCACUUAGCACAAAGUGCGGAGAAGUGAUCUCAUCCAUCAAUUUCCUAAGCUGCCACUUUCACUUGUACUGGAUGAUUAAAACAGAUGUACGUGCGCGUCUCGUUUAUCUUUUGAAUUCCAAAUGCUCAUAUAGUAAUUAUUUUAGAGUCAAAUAUAUAUUAUAUAGAUAUAUUUGCGUCAUAUAUAUAUGUCGUACAUGUUAGCUAGGAGCAAUUAUUUAUGGGGGGGUGGGGGAGUGAUGGAUGAGUGAUCCAUACCGAGUAGUAGUACUGAGGCGAUAAGUGUUUGAUUGUUUUAAUAAAUAAGAGGAGAGUUUUAAAAGUGUUUCUAUUUUUGGUUUUCAUCUUCCUUCCGGAAUCAAUCGUUUGCUUCUUAUGCUACACCCCAAUUUGUCCCUCACCAAAACUGACAAGAAAAUGUACGACCACUACUUGUUAGCUUGAAAGCUAAUCAUAUCACCUUAAUUGAGUUAUUCAUUCCUCAUAUAGUGCUUUUAACAUCUACUUAGCUCCAAGAUAUCGUGCGGAUGUGCUAUUAUGACAUUUCAAGAUGUGAGAAAAUUGACAUAUAUGUACAACUAUAUAUUAUAUAUGAAUUUACAAAUUAAAUUAUUUUUCAUGAUACACGAUUCACCGUGAUUGAAUUUGAAGCAAUAUGUUAAACAAAUAUUAUAUAUAAAUAUGGCUAGCUAAACGACGACCAAGAAAUUAAAGACUUUGCUUUAUGGAACUCACUGAUCGAAUGCUUUGAUAUUAUAGAUGAUACUUGUAUAGCCUAUCAUUAUAUUUUAUAUGUUGGGAGUGAUGCAUUAAAUGAAAGGUACAUAGAGAGGGAGCAAGAGAAAUGGGUUAUAGGAAAGAGAGGUUGUAAGAUUGUAAGCUAAAAUUGCGCUCAUUUUUUGCAGUCUCACUAAAUGCUCUCUCCCCCAUUAGUAAAUACACCCAACAUGCCUUCUCUUCAAUGCCCUAAUUUCCCUUCACAUGCAAAUUUCCCCAAUUUCCACUCCUGUUUUUGUUAUCCUUGUUUUCUUGUUUAUUAUUAGGUUUUAUAAAAAAAAAUUUGUUUAUUACCAAAACAAAAUGCGUAAUCUUCUUUUAAUAACUACAAAUCCAAUAUUUUCUUCUCUUCAACCAUUCUACCAAACUUGACAAAGACUAUAAUAUGACUAUGAAUAGAUCAAAACAAUUGCUUUUUUUUUUUGCAUGUACUAAAUAUUCAUCUCCCGGAUAUUAUCAAAUUUACAAUUACAAUGCAUCAAAUAUAGUUUCAUCAUUAAAUUAGACAAUAAUACAAUAUAAUUUAUAAGCACAGUUUAAAAAAUCCAUACGUAGCGCACACACUAGUCUAGUUCCUAUAAAAAAUGAAAUGCCAAGUACAUGCUAAGCCGUGCGUAGUAUUCUAGAAUUAAAAAAAAAGUUUCUAAUUCAAUAAAUUUUUGGGGAGUAUAGUAUAGCUUAUCUUCAAAACAUGAUAUAUUGAACUAUUGAAGACUCAGAUAAAGAGGAUUGGCAUUCCUCUUGUUCUUCGAAUGCAUUUGUUCAAAUUUAUUGCAUCCAUAUUGAUGUUCACGACUUGUUUUGUAAAUUUCUAAAAAUCUUGGACGAUGUGAGACAAGCCUCCGAUUUACUACUCAGCCAAAACGAUUAUACAGGCUGAAGGUCAAGUUAGAUUGUUGAACAACUUGAAUAGCGAGUCGGUGGCAAAGAUGGCAGUGGAUGGUAGCUGACACUACAAAGAUCGCCAUCACGAUGUCAACAUGCAUUCAUAUAUGUUUCCAUAUGUUUGAAUGCACCAUGUAUUAUAAUUGAUACUAUGAUACUUUAAAGUAGUUCUUUUUAUGAUAAUAUUCUUACAUGACUCGAUUCUAGCUAGUAUAUAACACUAGGAUUUUACGUAUUUUGUCGUAGACUUAAUAUAUACGUGCAAACAAUUCAUUGCAGAAUAUAGAAAUGUUAAGUAUCUGAUGAAUCUUUGAUGUUGUGCAUCUUAAAUUCUUAAGGCGUUUACUUAGUUGUUGACCAAAGAUGGAGAAAAUAAAUUUGUUAAAUUAAUCUCAUCGGGAAUAAGUGAAACGUAUAUGAAAAGCCUAUGAAUCAGUGACCACUAAUCUCACACGUGUAUAAUGAACUAUAGAACAAGCUUGUUUAUUUGUGUGUACGUUAAACAUCAAUUUCCUAAGUAAGAGAGAUUAGUUUCGAGAAACAUCCUCUUAUAGGAUCGAGAGUAGUCCAAAGAAAAUAGAAUUCCUA